GAUGAACGCUAGCGGCAGGCUUAACACAUGCAAGUCGAGGGGCAUCGAGAGAGUAGCAAUACUUUUGUCGGCGACCGGCGGACGGGUGCGUAACGCGUAUGCAACCUACCUUAUACAGGGGGGAUAACCUUUUCGAAAGGGAGACUAAUACCGCAUAACAUUACUUUGAGGCAUCUUGAGGUAAUUAAAUCUUCGGAGGUAUAAGAUGGGCAUGCGUAGCAUUAGCUAGAUGGUGCGGUAACGGCGUACCAUGGCGACGAUGCUUAGGGGUUCUGAGAGGAAGGUCCCCCANACUGGUACUGAGAUACGGACCAGACUCCUACGGGAGGCAGCAGUGAGGAAUAUUGGUCAAUGGUCGGAAGACUGAACCAGCCAUGCCGCGUGCAGGAAGAAUGUCUUAUGGAUUGUAAACUGCUUUUGUAUGGGAAUAAAAAAUAGAACGUGUUCUAUAUUGUAUGUACCAUACGAAUAAGGAUUGGCU
rnacentral:rRNA from 1 species